rnacentral:rRNA from 1 species
GAUGAACGCUGGCGGCGUGCCUAAUACAUGCAAGUCGAGCGAACGGACGAGAAGCUUGCUUCUCUGAUGUUAGCGGCGGACGGGUGAGUAACACGUGGAUAACCUACCUAUAAGACUGGGAUAACUUCGGGAAACCGGAGCUAAUACCGGAUAAUAUUUUGAACCGCAUGGUUCAAAAGUGAAAGACGGUCUUGCUGUCACUUAUAGAUGGAUCCGCGCUGCAUUAGCUAGUUGGUAAGGUAACGGCUUACCAAGGCAACGAUGCAUAGCCGACCUGAGAGGGUGAUCGGCCACACUGGAACUGAGACACGGUCCAGACUCCUACGGGAGGCAGCAGUAGGGAAUCUUCCGCAAUGGGCGAAAGCCUGACGGAGCAACGCCGCGUGAGUGAUGAAGGUCUUCGGAUCGUAAAACUCUGUUAUUAGGGAAGAACAUAUGUGUAAGUAACUGUGCACAUCUUGACGGUACCUAAUCAGAAAGCCACGGCUAACUACGUGCCAGCAGCCGCGGUAAUACGUAGGUGGCAAGCGUUAUCCGGAAUUAUUGGGCGCAAAGCGCGCGUAGGCGGUUUUUUAAGUCUGAUGUGAAAGCCCACGGCUCAACCGUGGAGGGUCAUUGGAAACUGGAAAACUUGAGUGCAGAAGAGGAAAGUGGAAUUCCAUGUGUAGCGGUGAAAUGCGCAGAGAUAUGGAGGAACACCAGUGGCGAAGGCGACUUUCUGGUCUGCAACUGACGCUGAUGUGCGAAAGCGUGGGGAUCAAACAGGAUUAGAUACCCUGGUAGUCCACGCCGUAAACGAUGAGUGCUAAGUGUUAGGGGGUUUCCGCCCCUUAGUGCUGCAGCUAACGCAUUAAGCACUCCGCCUGGGGAGUACGACCGCAAGGUUGAAACUCAAAGGAAUUGACGGGGACCCGCACAAGCGGUGGAGCAUGUGGUUUAAUUCGAAGCAACGCGAAGAACCUUACCAAAUCUUGACAUCCUUUGACAACUCUAGAGAUAGAGCCUUCCCCUUCGGGGGACAAAGUGACAGGUGGUGCAUGGUUGUCGUCAGCUCGUGUCGUGAGAUGUUGGGUUAAGUCCCGCAACGAGCGCAACCCUUAAGCUUAGUUGCCAUCAUUAAGUUGGGCACUCUAAGUUGACUGCCGGUGACAAACCGGAGGAAGGUGGGGAUGACGUCAAAUCAUCAUGCCCCUUAUGAUUUGGGCUACACACGUGCUACAAUGGACAAUACAAAGGGCAGCGAAACCGCGAGGUCAAGCAAAUCCCAUAAAGUUGUUCUCAGUUCGGAUUGUAGUCUGCAACUCGACUACAUGAAGCUGGAAUCGCUAGUAAUCGUAGAUCAGCAUGCUACGGUGAAUACGUUCCCGGGUCU